UACCAGGAAACGGAUCGUCGGCCAAGUCAUUUUACAGCAAGCAGGCAAGAAGGCCCUGCCAGUUUCCAUUCAUUUUUUGUGUAUGUUCACUGAUCCCUUUGUGCUUCGAUCUGGGACAAAUAGAUGCUCUUCACAGUACAGUUUCUGGUCGGCCACGGUCUUUGCAGAAGCCCCCGACAGCUUCAGGCCAAGUUGGGUGUACCCACCCUCAACAUUCAAAACGAAGCACGGUCACAGGAUUUCAUAAAAUGCCUUGAACAAGUUAGACUGUACAACAAGAUCCAGUUUUAUUAAGUAACCACAAAAAUGUUCAAGGAACAAGUUUUUUUUGUUCGUUGUCAACCGGAAGAUUAUUAUUCCAUUCAUGAAGAGGAGGGCAAGGAGGAGAAAGGACUGGGAGAGAAAGUCGGCUGUAAUUACAAUAAAUCUAUUUUGGGGUUGAGUCACCGAUCUUCCUUUUCGAAAAAGAAGAGAAAAAAAAUUAAAAUAAGGAUCCCACUCAACCCAGAUGUGGGCCGUGAAGUUCUCAUCUGACUCACCUCCUUUCCCCCCAAGCUCAGUAAGUGAUUUCCCUACACAUUCCCCGCGCCCUUGCAAGCUCCAACAAAGCGAACCCUUUAAUACAUCAUUUGACGAGCCACA